UACGGGGGGGGGCAAGCGUUUGUUCGGAAUUACUGGGCGUAAAGGGCUCGUAGGCGGCCAACUAAGUCGGAUGUGAAAUCCCCAGGCUUAACCUGGGAAUUGCAUCCGAUACUGGAUGGCUUGAAUCCGGGAGAGGGAUGCGGAAUUCCAGGUGUAGCGGUGAAAUGCGUAGAUAUCGGGAGGAACACCAGUGGCGAAGGCGACUACCUGGCCUGUUCUUGACGCUGAGGCGCGAAAGUUAGGGGGGGCAAACGGG
rnacentral:rRNA from 1 species